rnacentral:rRNA from 3 species
GGCGGCGUGCCUAAUACAUGCAAGUCGAGCGAAUCGACGGGAGCUUGCUCCCUGAGAUUAGCGGCGGACGGGUGAGUAACACGUGGGCAACCUGCCUAUAAGACUGGGAUAACUUCGGGAAACCGGAGCUAAUACCGGAUACGUUCUUUUCUCGCAUGAGAGAAGAUGGAAAGACGGUUUACGCUGUCACUUAUAGAUGGGCCCGCGGCGCAUUAGCUAGUUGGUGAGGUAAUGGCUCACCAAGGCGACGAUGCGUAGCCGACCUGAGAGGGUGAUCGGCCACACUGGGACUGAGACACGGCCCAGACUCCUACGGGAGGCAGCAGUAGGGAAUCUUCCGCAAUGGACGAAAGUCUGACGGAGCAACGCCGCGUGAACGAAGAAGGCCUUCGGGUCGUAAAGUUCUGUUGUUAGGGAAGAACAAGUACCAGAGUAACUGCUGGUACCUUGACGGUACCUAACCAGAAAGCCACGGCUAACUACGUGCCAGCAGCCGCGGUAAUACGUAGGUGGCAAGCGUUGUCCGGAAUUAUUGGGCGUAAAGCGCGCGCAG